CUCAGAGAUGGCGGUUGCUCCCUUAAACCUCCGCCGUCAAUUCUCCAUCUUUUCCUCGCCUUCUUCAUCUUCACUGCAUCCUACUCAUCUUCUUACCCCACAACUCAUCAAAAUCCCCAAAGCCCCCCAAAAUCACAAGAAGAAAUUCUCCACUUCCUGCUCCUCCUCUUCCUCCCCCUCUCCAAUAUUCCUGCCCUUUCUACAAACCCCAUCAAUAAAACAACCUCAAAAUCUUGACAAAGAUGAAGAGGCCGAAGAAUCCGACGACCCACUUCUCAAAUUCUUCAAGACCCGAACUUCAAACGCGGACCCGCUUCAAGAAGGCCGGAUUUCCCUCCAAAAGAACCGCAGAACAUCGUGGCAUCUAGCAUCAAGUCUUAAUGACCCAGAAUCGGAAGCCGCACCGGAAUCAAAAGUCGAGAAUUUAGAUGUUUCAUCUGACAAAAAUGCAGAGACACCUACGGAAGUGGAAGAGGGGAUUGUAAGGAAAAUACUUAAAAUUGCGAGGUCAUUGCCCGAAAAUGUCACGUUGGGAGAGGCGUUGGAAAGCUGUGAUUUUGGAGGGAAAUUAGGGGUGGAAGAGUGUCUGGAAGUGUUGAGACUAUUAGGCGAGGAGGGUGAGGUGAUGAGCUGUUUGUAUUUCUUUGAGUGGAUCGGAUUGAGAGAGCCUCAUUUGGUUACAGCAACGGCGUGCUCAGUUUUGUUUCCAGUGUUAGGGCGGGCGGGGAAGGGGGAUGAGUUGUUGGUGGUGUUCAAGAAUCUGCCUUUUAAGCAGAAUCCGCACUUCAGAGAUGUUCGUGUUUACAAUGCUGCGAUUUCAGGGUUGAUGUCUUGUGGGAGGUACAAUGAUGCUUGGACAGUGUACGAAAUGAUGGAAGCAAGUAAUAUUCGGCCUGAUCAUGUAACAAGUUCUAUCAUGAUCACAGUCAUGAGGAAAAACGGAGAUAGUGCUGAAGAUGCAUGGAAAUUCUUUGAAAAGAUGAAUCAGAAAGGCAUCGAGUGGAGUUUAGAAGCUGUGGGAGCACUUAUAAAAUUGUUCUGUGAUGAGGGGUUAAAGAAAGAGGCUCUGAUUAUCCAAUCAGAACUCGAAAAGAAGGGGAUAUCUUCUAAUGCUGUUAUUUAUAAUACAAUUAUGGAUGCUUAUGGAAAGUCAAACCAUGUCGAGGAGGCGGAAGGUCUUUUAACUGAGAUGAAGGCGAAAGGAGUAGCCCCAACAGCUGCUACUUAUAACAUUUUGAUGGAUGCAUAUAGCAGAAGGAUGCAGCCUGAUAUUGUUGAGAAGCUACUUGAAGAAAUGGAAGCUGCUGGUUUGGAGCCGAAUGUAAGAUCAUAUACAUGUCUGAUUAGUGCCUAUGGUAGGCAGAAGAAAAUGAGUGACAUGGCUGCAGAUGCAUUCUUGAGGAUGAAAAGAGUCGGCAUCAAACCAUCAUCACAUUCGUACACUGCUCUUAUCCAUGCCUAUUCCGUUAGUGGCUGGCAUGAGAAAGCUUAUUUGGCUUUUGAUGAUAUGUUAAGAGAGGGAAUAAAGCCCUCCAUUGAAACAUAUACUGCUCUACUUGAUGCAUUUAGACGAGCUGGUGACACUGAAACACUGAUGAAAAUCUGGAAGUUGAUGAUCAGGGAUAAAGUUGAAGGGACUCGAGUUACUUUCAACAUUCUGGUUGAUGGAUUUGCAAAGCAAGGCCAGUAUGUGGAAGCAAGAGACGUGAUGCACGAAUUUGGGAAGCAUGGUUUCCAUCCCACUGUGAUGACGUAUAAUAUGCUCAUGAAUGCAUAUGCAAGGGGAGGGCAGGAGUCGAAGCUGCCACAGCUGUUGAAGGAGAUGGCCGCACUCAAUCUGAAACCAGAUUCUGUCACCUAUUCCACAAUAAUAUAUGCAUAUGUCCGUGUCCGUGACUUCAGUAGGGCAUUCUACUAUCACAAACAGAUGGUGAAGAAUCGCCAAGUGCCUGAUGCCAAAUCAUACGAGAAGCUCAGAGCUAUCUUGAAUGUGAAGGCAAAAAUCAAGAAUAGGAAGGACAAAAGCGCACUGAUGGGGAUCAUUAAAGCCAGUGCAGGCUUGCUGAAAGAGAAGAAGAAGGGGAAGAAAGACGAGUUCUGGAAAACCAAUAAGGGGCUGCGGACGCCUCCGUCUCGCCCUCAGCCUUCGCGGUGAUCAAUAGUGCCGUCGCUCCAUCUGUAAUGAGGUGAUGAGUUCUUGAGUUCUGUUAUGUUAUUUGAGCUUUAUGAUCUCAUUUAAAUUGAUCAUCAUGUUGCAUAUGGUUUAUCCAGAGUGCACUAGUGUAUAGUAGUUUUGUGUUUCUCCAUUUUUGAAGAAAAAUUUGUAGGGGCUGGUGAAAUUGAAAGGCUUUUUGACGUUGUAAUGCGAUUUAUUUAUUUUUUAUCUUUGAUUUCAAUGCCUUCGCGCUGAUCAUAUGUGCCAUCGCUCCAUCUGUAAUGAGGUGAUGAGUUCUUGAGUUCUGUUGUGUUAUUUGAGCUUAUGAUCUCGUCCGAAAUGGGAAAGAUGUGUCUUACACAUUAGUACUAAAUGCAAACACAACCCCAUCCCUAUUCCCUACCCAGCCGUUCCUCCCCAUUGGCUACACAUUUACGCAACUUGAGGGAGAAGGAGAAAGGAGUGAGGGACAGAAAGUAAGGAGAGAGAGCCAUCCUCCUUGAGGAAGAAGUCGAGAGGUGGAAGGAGGGAGCUAGCUGCAUUUAAGUUUCAAGAAUUCUUCAAAGGGAUUGCCUCGAGGGUUCAUGGAAAAAUAUCGCCAAAAUGUUGGCAAAAAAAGUUGAGCUGAGGAUGGGUUCCUCUAGAUGGGAGGUGAGGGUGGAGAAACUAGAAGAAGUGGAUUGUUACUUCUUCAUGAGAGGAUGGACCGAAGUCUGUCAAGAUGUGCGGCUUCAAAUCUCGGAGUUACUCGUCUUUUCUUACAUCGGUUACUCCACAUUCGAGGUGUCCAUGUAUGCAACCACUGCUAUGGAGAGGACUACUCCUUUAAUGCAUUGUGUUGAAGGACUACUCCUUUCUGAGGCAUGUGGUUUGUGUAUUUUCUUACAUCGUCACUCCUUUCUCCAAUUCUUAAAGUCAGAAUCUGUGUAUUUUCUUAAAUUUUUUCAGCAUAUUCCCAAACAGUUUUCUGAGGCU